UUAAAUUGAAGAGUUUGAUCAUGGCUCAGAUUGAACGCUGGCGGCAGGCCUAACACAUGCAAGUCGAACGGUAACAGGAAGCAGCUUGCUGCUUCGCUGACGAGUGGCGGACGGGUGAGUAAUGUCUGGGAAACUGCCUGAUGGAGGGGGAUAACUACUGGAAACGGUGGCUAAUACCGCAUAACGUCGCAAGACCAAAGAGGGGGACCUUCGGGCCUCUUGCCAUCAGAUGUGCCCAGAUGGGAUUAGCUAGUUGGUGAGGUAACGGCUCACCAAGGCGACGAUCCCUAGCUGGUCUGAGAGGAUGACCAGCCACACUGGAACUGAGACACGGUCCAGACUCCUACGGGAGGCAGCAGUGGGGAAUAUUGCACAAUGGGCGCAAGCCUGAUGCAGCCAUGCCGCGUGUAUGAAGAAGGCCUUCGGGUUGUAAAGUACUUUCAGCGGGGAGGAAGGUGUUGUGGUUAAUAACCGCAGCAAUUGACGUUACCCGCAGAAGGCGACAAGCGGUGGAGCAUGUGGUUUAAUUCGAUGCAACGCGAAGAACCUUACCUGGUCUUGACAUCCACAGAACUUUCCAGAGAUGGAUUGGUGCCUUCGGGAACUGUGAGACAGGUGCUGCAUGGCUGUCGUCAGCUCGUGUUGUGAAAUGUUGGGUUAAGUCCCGCAACGAGCGCAACCCUUAUCCUUUGUUGCCAGCGAUUAGGUCGGGAACUCAAAGGAGACUGCCAGUGAUAAACUGGAGGAAGGUGGGGAUGACGUCAAGUCAUCAUGGCCCUUACGACCAGGGCUACACACGUGCUACAAUGGCGCAUACAAAGAGAAGCGACCUCGCGAGAGCAA
rnacentral:rRNA from 1 species